rnacentral:rRNA from 1 species
AACGAACGCUGGCGGCAUGCCUAACACAUGCAAGUCGAACGAGACCUUCGGGUCUAGUGGCGCACGGGUGCGUAACGCGUGGGAACCUGCCCUUAGGUUCGGCAUAACUCCCCGACAGGGGUGCUAAUACCGGAUAAUGUCUUCGGACCAAAGAUUUAUCGCCUUUGGAUGGGCCCGCGUUGGAUUAGCUAGUUGGUAGGGUAAAAGCCUACCAAGGCGACGAUCCAUAGCUGGUCUGAGAGGAUGAUCAGCCACACUGGGACUGAGACACGGCCCAGACUCCUACGGGAGGCAGCAGUGGGGAAUAUUGGACAAUGGGCGAAAGCCUGAUCCAGCAAUGCCGCGUGAGUGAUGAAGGCCUUAGGGUUGUAAAGCUCUUUUACCCGGGAUGAUAAUGACAGUACCGGGAGAAUAAGCUCCGGCUAACUCCGUG